UGGGGAAUAUUGGACAAUGGGCGCAAGCCUGAUCCAGCCAUGCCGCGUGAGUGAUGAAGGCCUUAGGGUUGUAAAGCUCUUUCGACGGGGACGAUAAUGACGGUACCCGUAGAAGAAGCCCCGGCUAACUUCGUGCCAGCAGCCGCGGUAAUACGAAGGGGGCUAGCGUUGCUCGGAAUCACUGGGCGUAAAGGGCGCGUAGGCGGACAUUUAAGUCAGAGGUGAAAGCCCAGGGCUCAACCCUGGAACAGCCUUUGAUACUGGGUGUCUCGAGACCGGAAGAGGUUGGUGGAACUGCGAGUGUAGAGGUGAAAUUCGUAGAUAUUCGCAAGAACACCGGUGGCGAAGGCGGCCAACUGGUCCGGUUCUGACGCUGAGGCGCGAAAGCGUGGGGAGCAAACAGGAUUAGAUACCCUGGUAGUCCACGCCGUAAACGAUGGAUGCUAGCCGUUGGCGGGUUUACCCGUCAGUGGCGCAGCUAACGCGUUAAGCACCCCGCCUGGGGAGUACGGUCGCAAGAUUAAAACUCAAAUGAAUUGACGGGGUCAUAGCUGUUUCCU
rnacentral:rRNA from 1 species